rnacentral:rRNA from 1 species
GAUGAACGCUAGCUACAGGCUUAACACAUGCAAGUCGAGGGGAAACGACAUCGAAAGCUUGCUUUUGAUGGGCGUCGACCGGCGCACGGGUGAGUAACGCGUAUCCAACCUGCCCAUCACUUGGGAAUAACCUUGCGAAAGUAAGACUAAUACCCAAUGAUAUCCCACGAAGGCAUCGGAAUGGGAUUAAAGAUUUAUCGGUGAUGGAUGGGGAUGCGUCUGAUUAGCUUGUUGGCGGGGUAACGGCCCACCAAGGCAACGAUCAGUAGGGGAUCUGAGAGGUAGAUCCCCCACAUUGGAACUGGGACACGGACCAAACUACUACGGGAGGCAGCAGUGAGGAAUAUUAGUCAAUGGGCGAGAGCCUGAACCAGCCAAGUAGCGUGCAGGAAGACGGCCCUAUGUGUUGUAAACUGCUUUUAGAAGUGAAUAAAGUGGGUCACGUGUGACUUUUUGCAUGUACCUUAUGAAUAAGGACCGGCUAAUUCCGUG